GACGAACGCUGGCGGCGUGCUUAACACAUGCCAGUCGAACGGAAAGGCCCCCUUGUGGGGUACUCGAGUGGCGAACGGGUGAGUAACACGUGAGUAACCUACCCUUGACUUUGGGAUAACUUCAGGAAACUGGGGCUAAUACCGGAUAGGAGCUCCUGCUGCAUGGUGGGGGUUGGAAAGUUUCGGCGGUUGGGGAUGGACUCGCGGCUUAUCAGCUUGUUGGUGGGGUAGUGGCUCACCAAGGCUUUGACGGGUAGCCGGCCUGAGAGGGUGAACGGCCACAUUGGGACUGAGAUACGGCCCAGACUCCUACGGGAGGCAGCAGUGGGGAAUAUUGCACAAUGGGCGGAAGCCUGACGCAGCAACGCAGCGUGCGGGAUGACGGACUUCGGGUUGUAAACCGCUUUCGCCUGUGACGAAGCGUGAGUGACGGUAAUGGGUAAAGAAGCACCGGCUAACUACGUG
rnacentral:rRNA from 1 species